rnacentral:rRNA from 1 species
AAACUCAAAGGAAUUGACGGGGGCCCGACAAGCGGUGGAGCAUGUGGUUUAAUUCGAAGCAACGCGAAGAACCUUACCAGGUCUUGACAUCCUUUGACCACUCUAGAGAUAGAGCUUUCCCUUUGGGGACAAAGUGACAGGUGGUGCAUGGUUGUCGUCAGCUCGUGUCGUGAGAUGUUGGGUUAAGUCCCGCAACGAGCGCAACCCUUAUUGUUAGUUGCCAUCAUUUAGUUGGGCACUCUAGCGAGACUGCCGGUGACAAACCCGGAUGAAGGUGGGGAUGACGUCAAAUCAUCAUGCCCCUUAUGACCUGGGCUACACACGUGCUACAAUGGGAAGUACAACGAGUCGCUAGACCGCGAGGUCAUGCAAAUCUCUUAAAGCUUCUCUCAGUUCGGAUUGCAGGCUGCAACUCGCCUGCAUGAAGCCGGAAUCGCUAGUAAUCGCGGAUCAGCACGCCGCGGUGAAUACGUUCCCGGGCCUUGUACACACCGCCCGU